GACGUUCUCGUCUUAAUAUAUUUCGCGGUAGGCGAGAAAGGGACGGCGGGCGCGCAGGUACUCCGUACCGAAGUGGACGAACAGUAUCUACAGGUUUUGCUCUCCCACUAUAAGGAGGCAUGGCGCGGACUCGGAGAGCCUCGGAGCUUGAAAGUUGUUGUUGAAAAAAACAUAACAAGCGCAUAGUCGCUCGGACCGCUCCUAGACACAGGCGAUUUUUUACGUUUUGGCCUGGCCGUUGGGCACGAGAUAAAAGGUUCAGAUGGUCAUCUCAUCUCUAUGAAUCAUAUCGAUCGAGACCAUCGAGAGAGCUUAUAAUGAUUUAAUAUCGGUCGUUAUCUACGCCUACUUGAUACCUAAUAAGAAAUAAUUUGUCUUAAUUUUGGCAUUAUUUUCCAAAUUGGUAGUCUAAUGUUUGCUUUUUAAUCUUUUGACUGAACUAUCAAUACGUAUGAGUAAGUUAAACUAGACGUAAGCCAUUAUCAUUGCCUAUAACAGGCGAAGAAGGAAGUUAAAUAGUUUUAUAACUAGAAAAGUAGAAGAACAAUCAUAGAAACGAUCGAUACAGCCGAUAAAUCAAACCGGUCCCAAUGCAUCUCUGGUGAAGGCCGCGAGAAUUUUAACCUCUACAUGGGACACUCCCGCGCAUAGGGAUACACACACACAAACAACACACACCACGGGACUAUUAUUCCUACUCCUUGUCAACCGAGCGGCGUUCGAUUUAACUAACCAGGUUAAGUGUGAGCUCUCCAUAAUGUACAGUCGUUACAGGUCCAUAGAACACGUAUACUGGUUUUCCAAAUGAAAUUCUUGGAAAGUGAUAAGAAUGAGGACAGAACUGUCAGGCACACGCGCACAUGGGCAUUAAGGAUUAUUCUUACCUGGACCAUGCCCUCAUAAUUGGCAGUUUUUUUGUGAAGAUGCCAAUUCCUAUAAAUAUUAGUAUGAAUAAUUAACAUAUUGACGAGAGGACAGGUGUGGACCUGUGUACAAACUAUUAAGUUAUUAAGGGCGUUAUCAUUUAAGUAAUAAGUGUCAUUUUAGUAAAUCUAAUAAAUCUAUGUCAUUUCAUGUCCAUGCAUAUAUAUUGCGUAAAUAUGUAUUCUUUUUGAAGAUCAGAGUCUGAACAAGAAAAUUGAAUAACUCAAAAUAACAGUUGUUUAAAAAGACAGCCAACAUCAAUACAAGGAAAAUAGAUCAUUUUAGUCACUAAACAACGCAAUAAAAUUGUAUACAUAAUGGAUAUUGGCUAAAAAGUUCCAAAAUCCAAUGUAAAAAAAAAAGAAAAUAAAAACAAAUCAAAAUACGUCAAAGUAACAAAUGUCAUGAACAGAAACCAACUAAUUUUUAUAGUAACUGUUUCAGCAGUGGCCUCAUUCGCGGGCACCAUGUGGGAUAGCUUCGGGAAACGGCCAGGACCAUGAACAUCAUUAUGGCCCGGAAUGUCUACUAUCGCUGAUAUUCAAAUCUUCAAUAACUACCACAUUGAGCAACAUAAAAUACAAAAUAGAACUAUGAUCCAUCAAAAAUAGUAUUUCCAAGUCGCUCCAAUUUUUUACAAACCAAAAACAUGCAUCCGUAUAAACUAGACUGUUUCAAGCCAACGCGCCUCUGGCAUUUGACUGGAAAGAAGCACUUCUGGGGCAUUCUUAAGGAUCGCCAUGGUGCCGUCAAGCAUACCCAUGAGACUUUAGAACGCAAAGACGCAUUUACUCUACUCAGCGUCUCUUUAAUUGCGGCUACAGGGUUCUUAUAUUUAUAUGGGAGGUUCUCACCUAAGGCCAAACCACCGCAGAAAGAAUGCACCCCAGACAAGCGUCCUGUGGUGCCUUGCCCAAGAAAAUAUCCGUGCAACGACUAAUAGAUCCUUCAUGACGGAUAAUUCUAGAUAAAAAUAAAUAAAAAGAACUAUGGUUAUAAAUUAAAGUUUUAGAAUUAUA